GUCCUACACAGUCUAAGGACUCGCCACCCCGAGCUGGAGACUCCCAGAAACUUGUCGCCUGUUUUCCGUUCUUUCCUGCAGUCUUGUCUGAAACGGAAUGUGAAGCGUCGAUGGACAGCCAGGAAGCUGCUCAAGCAUCCGUUUUUAAAAAAAUCCGAGUCUUGAUGAGAUACCUCCUCUCAUUGAUGCAGCCAGGAGACCCAGAACACCGGCACCAGAAUCUCUGCUGGCUCCCUCUGAUUCUGGACAAGAGGGGAAAGAGGAGCAAGUAGAGAAGGAAGUUGUCAAAGCAAAACCUGAAGGACUG